CAACUUUGCUGGGGGUGCCCCGUAAGGGGCUGAGAAAGAGAGUUCUCUUAUCCCUUUGAACCUGAUCUGGUUAGUACCAGCGUAGGGAAGCGAUGUUCCGGGAAU
rfam:Peptococcaceae bacterium CEB3 CEB3_contig000061, whole genome shotgun sequence.